GUAGGUGAACCUGCGGAGGGAUCAUUACCGAGUGAGGGCCUCUGGCCCGACCUCCAACCCUUUUGUGAACCGACCUCUGUUGCCUCGGGGGCGACCCGGGCCUUCGGGUGCCGGGUCCCCUCGGUGGACCAAACCAACUCUGCAUCUCUGCGUCUGAGUACAAAGUAAAUCAAUUAAAACUUUUAACAACGGAUCUCUUGGUUCUG
rnacentral:misc_RNA from 1 species